rnacentral:rRNA from 1 species
GACAAUGACUGGAAACAAGACUAAACACACUGGAGCCCAUCUGGUCUUUGAAAAUAAACAGGUCCUGCUCUGUUUAGUACUUGGCUGGGAGACUACCAACAAAUACCAGAUGCUGUUGGAU